rnacentral:rRNA from 1 species
UACGAAGGGGGCUAGCGUUGUUCGGAAUUACUGGGCGUAAAGCGCGCGCAGGCGGUCUUCCAAGUCAGUGGUGAAAGCCCGGAGCUCAACUCUGGAACGGCCUUUGAGACUAGAGGACUUGGGGUACGGGAGAGGUGAGUGGAAUUCCGAGUGUAGAGGUGAAAUUCGUAGAUAUUCGGAAGAACACCAGUGGCGAAGGCGGCUCACUGGCCCGUUACCGACGCUCAGGCGCGACAGCGUGGGGAGCAAACAGG